GAGUCUGCAGGUAGCUAGCUGUAGGGGUAGGGAGAUGUAUCCAGGGAGUCUGCAGGUAGCUAGCUGUAGGGGGUAGGGAGAUGUAUCCAGGGAGUCUGCAGGUAGCUAGCUGUAGGGGGUAGAGAGAUGUAUCCAGGGAGUCUGCAGGUAGCUAGCUGUAUGGGGUAGAGAGAUGUAUCCAGGAGUCUGCAAGUAGCUAGCUGUAGGGGGUAGAGAGAUGUAUCCAGGAGUCUGCAAGUAGCUAGCUGUAGGGGGUAGAGAGAUGUAUCCAGGGAGUCUGUAGGUAGCUAGCUGUAGGGGGUAGGGAGAUGUAUCCUGGGAGUCUGCAGGUAGCUAGCUGUAGGGGGUAGAGAGAUGUAUCCAGGGAGUCUCCUACUCAGUGAGGAAGCAGGAAUGAGGUCUUCAGAGGGAUUAUUAAAACAUUAAAGAGCUCUGUGUCUAUCUGUCUCAGUGUAUUCUCACAAGUCUUCAUCAUACUGUUAAAUACACCUGUCUGGGUGUCUGUGUGGCUGCUGGGAACAGAUCCCGUUGAGUAGGACAGACAGGACAGCCUUAAGGGAUGAGAUGCAGUCAGAGAGGUGAAAGGAGGUGUGGGGAGGCGGGACAUUAGCCAUGACUGACAGCUCAGUUAGGGAAAAGCUGUGAGAUUGUUCUCUGAACAGCAUCAUAGCUCUCUUCUCUCACUUUGUCUUUGUCUUUUCACCCCUACCUCUCCAUCCCUUACUCUGUAUUUCUCUCUCUCUCAU